rnacentral:rRNA from 1 species
UACGUAGGUGGCAAGCGUUGUCCGGAAUUAUUGGGCGUAAAGCGCGCGCAGGCGGUCCUUUAAGUCUGAUGUGAAAGCCCACGGCUCAACCGUGGAGGGUCAUUGGAAACUGGGGGACUUGAGUACAGAAGAGGAAAGCGGAAUUCCACGUGUAGCGGUGAAAUGCGUAGAGAUGUGGAGGAACACCAGUGGCGAAGGCGGCUUUCUGGACCGAUACUGACGCUGAGGCGCGAAAGCGUGGGGAGCAAACAGG